CAACAAAAGUAAAUUCCAGAAAAUUUCCAAAUAAAAAUAUCUUCAGCAAAAACUAAACAGAAAAAAAAAAAAAAAUCCCCAGAAAAAAUUCUCCAGAAAACUUGAAAAUUUUAAACAAAUAAAAACUCCAACAAAACAAACAAAAAAAUCCCCAAAAAUUAGCUUAAAAAUAAAACUAAUAAGAAAAGCCAAAAUUAACUUUAAAAAUUUCUGACUAAAACAAAAAACUACAAAAGAAAAAUAGAAGAAAAAAACAUUUAAUACCUGUUUAUAAUGAAGUCUCUCUCUCUCUCUUUUUUAUAUCGCAACAUUGUCUUGCUGAGUGUGUGUUAUCAAGGUCUGGAAUUAUUAGUUAAAAUGCCUCUUUGCCAAUGUACAAUCAGCUCGGUCUCCCUCAUCCUUGUUAUCUAAUGCUGUGACCUUAAGGAUACAGACAGACACUUAUAGUAUAGAGGAUGUAAACACUGGCACAGGGUACGUACUGUUGCUGCUCCGUAACGCCAUAAAGAAAAGAAUAAAGAUGAAAGAAAAACAGAGUUGAAAGUAAGGUGUGUACAGGACUGUACCCAAGGGAGGUCAGGGGGUCAGAUGACCCCCCCCAAUCUGCUACAAGGUUUACUUUCUGAGAAAGUCAGAACAAAAAAAAUGGGACUUCUCUGAUGCAUUUCUGGAGAUAUAAGAUAUUGUGGAUUCUUCUUGUUAUUCUUAUUCCAUUAAUUGCCUACAUAAAGAUGAAUAAACAUCAGGAAUAUGAACACAGAAAUGUCUAUUUUUCUAAACCUUGAACCCCCCAGCUGAUUUGGCUCACUUUGCUCACCACUCACCCCUCUUCAAGUGCCUACAAAGGGUCACAAUUAGAGGAAAAGAUCCCCCCCAUUUACUGCUCUGGGUACAGCACUGUUGUGUUCUCAGACGCUUUGGGCUCAUGACCCUAAAUAUACAGUCAUUUAUAGUAUAGAAGGUACAUUCUUCAGAAUGACAUCAGUUUGGUAUAAAAGACUCCAAGGCAACAGCUGGUCAGGGUGUCACCAGUGUAAUACCCAGAAGUCACUUCACCAGCACUGCAGAACAAUAUAAGAUUUGCCUCAUAAAUCAGUCACCACUUAAUGUAAUAAAACAGAUGAUGUGUGUGUGUGCUCAUUAAAACAUUGCAGAACUACAUGAGACUGCCUGGUAAAUAAAUCACAGUUACAUGUAAUAAGACAGAAUGAUGUGUGUGUGGUUAUUGAACACUGCAGAACUAGGCAAGACUUGCCUCGUAAAACAAAUCACCACUUAAUGUAAUAAAAAAGAAUGAUGUGUGUGUGCUCAGGGGAACAUCACAGAAUUAAAGAUUUCCUUGGUGUAUAAAUCACUGGUAUUUGUCACAAAAGAGAAUAAUGUGUGUGUGAAGAAGCAGCUGAGCAGAUAAAAAAUAAACCAAAAUCAUAUGGACUGUUUUUUUAUUUUCCAAACUGACGCAGGCGGCAAGUCAGUCAGGUCCAACAGCAACAAAAAAAGCAAAGUGCGGUGAAGCAUAAAAAAAAAAUAUAUAUAGUUUGAUAUAUAUUAUGAUUUAACCGAAAACAAUACAAUAAUAAUAACAACAAGAACAAAAAAUAACUAAAUAGGGAUAAAAAAUAUAUGUACAGUAUAUAUGUCAACUAAAUAACAACUUGGGAUUGCACUAAAACAGGAAAACAAUAAGAAAAUGUGCCGAAUGUACUUGUGUCAAUGUCGAUCUUAAGCCCAUAGUAAAAUAGUAGCAGCAGCAGCAGUAGUAGUAGUAGUAGUAGUAGUAGUAGUAGUAGUAGUAGUAGUAGUAGUAGUAGUAGUAGUAGUAGUAGUGUAAGAUUGAGAAUAGUAGUAGUGGUAGUAGAAGUAGUAGUAGUAGUAGUAGUAGUAGUAGUAGUAGUAGUAGUAGUAGUAGUAAUAGUAAUGUAAGAUUGUGAAUAAUAGUAGAAGUAGCAGCAGUAAUAGUAGUAGUGAUAGUAGAAGUAGUAGUGGUAGUAGUAGUAGUAGUAAUAGUAAUGUAAGAUUGUGAAUAAUAGUAGAAGUGGCAGCAGUAAUAGUAGUAGUGGUAGUAGUAGUAGUGGUAGUAGAAGUAGUGGUAGUAGAAGUAGUAGAAGUAGUAGUGGUAGUAGUAAUAGUAAUGUAAGAUUGUGAAUAAUAGUAGAAGUGGCAGCAGUAAUAGUAGUAGUGGUAGUAGAAGUAGUAGAAGUAGUAGUAGUAGUAGUAGUAGUAGUAAUAGUAAUGUAAGAUUGUGAAUAAUAGUAGAAGUGGCAGCAGUAAUAGUAGUAGUGGUAGUAGUAGUAGUAGUAGUAGUAGUAGUAGUAGUAGUAGUAGUAGUAGUAGUAGUAGUAAUAGUAAUGUAAGAUUGUGAAUAAUAGUAGAAGUAGCAGCAGUAAUAGUAGUAGUGGUAGUAGUAGUAGUAGUAGUAGUAGUAGUAGAGCUCAGCUGCAGUAUUGUAAGAUCGAAAAUAAGAGUAGUAUUCAUAAUAGUAUUUUAAGAUUGAGAAUAACAGAAGUAGUAGUAAUAGUAGAAGCAGUAGCACCAUCCCCACCCCCCAUUUAAAGCAGUACCAAUAGACAACUGAACCCCCUCAGUAAUAAAUUCCAAGACCCUCGACAUUCACACGAGCAGAUUCGGCACAAACAAGGUAACAUAAGAAGGAGGAGCAGCCCGGAGGAUGUCACACACAUUGUACACACUCCGCCCGACACUCCUCUUAUAAAACAACAAGGGUCUAUAUACAACAACACAAUAAUACUAACUGCUCGGUAAAAAGAAUUUGAGUCCUGCUACGUCGAUUAACACAUAAUUUAUAUACGGUAAUAAAUAUUCUAUCACAGAUAAUCGUAACACCGAAUUCUUUCUUGGGCGUGUGAUUGGUUGAUUGAUAUGAGCGUUGGUCGACCAAAGCUGACAGCGGUUGUGAUGAGGUCCAUAUUCUUAAACGUACUGAGCUCCCAUUGCGACUAUUUUCCAAGGCCACGGAGAAGAUUAACCAGGUUUUCAUGGGUGUUUUGUCCGUUCAUGGUGAAGGAGUCAUGUAAAACUGUCACCAGCAUCACAAAACAGUCCAUGAAAAUCCCAACAACUUCCCCGAGAGGCUUAUCAAACAGGCAAACUAAAGUGCCGAUACAUUUAAGAAUACAGGCUGCUAUGACACUCUUCAUCGUCAAUUUGUACACUAUUCCAGUCAGUAAUUGCAUUAUAGAAAAACAAUACCCUGGUACUUGCAAGUGUGACAUCCAGGCUAGCACAGUUUACCUUCCCCAGGCUUCCCCAGAUACCCUUUUAUCAACCAGCCAGAUAGGAAAGUAAGUUGGAAAGUUUCGUUUAGUCGGCGCAACAUCUGUGGUCAUAUGCCGCAGAGAGACAGAAGGGGAAGGAAUUAUAGGAGAAGGGAACAGAUCCCAGGAGACGGGACACAACCCCCGAUUAAUACCUGGUACCCAAUCACUGCUGGGUGGACAGGGGCGUAAGGUAUCGAAAAAGCCGCCCAAAUUUUCCCACUUCGCCCGGGAAUUGAACCCGGGCUCUCUUAGUUGUGAGCCGAGUGUGCAAACCACUGCACCACGAAGCCCCCGUCAACAGCUGUGUGGGUUGCGUGUUAUUACAGUUUCAAUUUCCCAGAUUUUCCCAGGUGCACAUCUAUUGACAAGCCCAAAAGGGGGGAUGAAACAAUGGGUGGGUUGUGUGUUGUUACAGUUUACAUUCCCCAGGUUUUCCCAGGUACACAUUAUCGCCCAGUCCAAAAGGAAGGACGAACAGCUGGGUGGGUUGCAUUCUACUACAGUUUGCAUUCACCAGGUUUUCCCAGGUACCCGUUUAUCGACCAAUCCAAAAGGGAGGAGGAAAUGUUAGGUGGGUUCUGGGUCACCACAGUUUACCUUCCCCAGGUUUCCCCAGGUACCCGUUUAUUGACCAGCCACAAAGUUAAGAUGAAAAGUUGGGUGGGUUGCAUGCCACUACAGUUAACCCGGUAGCAGCGGGGAUCAUGUUUCUUAAUGGCACCCCCAAGCGAGAAAAAUGAGAAAAAAUCACCCCUCACACAAACCAUUUCAUAAUAUAUACAAAACAUUUGUGAUCAGAUUAUGUAUCAUCUAUUUUGGGGGGUUUAAAUCAUGGCACAAAUUUGGCCCGUCGCUGCUACACGGUAAAGCCACAAAUUUGGCCCGUCGCUGUUACCGGGUUAAACUUCUCUUAAUUACCCCAGGUACCUAUUUAUUGACAAGCCCGAAAGGAAGGAUCAACAGCUGGGAGGGUGCUUUGUGUCGAGUGCUAGGGCUGGAAUUAAACCUAGGCCUAGGGAUUCGCAGCUCGGCAUACUGACAACAUUGUCAUGGCUCGUGACAAGUUCCCAGGGUGUUGUUCUCUUGAUACAUGCAGUGACUGGACUGAUGUGUAUGGACUGGUGAGCAGACCUUACACUGAGACAGGCACACCUAUACAACACACUCAGAAGGACACACAUACUUUUACACACACACACACACACUCAUACCAGCACCUUUACAGACAUAAGACAUAUUAGAUGCAAACAUACACAUGGACAAGGACACAUACAUAGACAUACACAUACACACAAAGACUCACAGAUAUACACAUAAGAUUCUUACAGACACAAGGACAUGGACACAUACACAGGAUACAUAAACACAUUUCUAACUUAGCACAUCCACAUACAUCCACACACAAGCACAGUAGAAUCAUACACAUACAAAGGACAUGAACACAUACACGACAUAACAAACUCCUUCCACACACCUGGUCCCUAGAAACACACACUGGAAUGGCGCUUAUUAUCCUUCUCCCUCCACACACUCACUGGGCUUGUUGCACCAAUUUGUACGACUUCUUCCACUUAGUACACGCACCAGGAAAGAUACUACUCUAAGAGAACUGGGAUGAGGUAUAAUACUGAGUCACUGCCACAAAACAAAUGUUCAUUAUUUUUUUGGUGGUAGUAUUUUCACAUCAUGGAUUAAGUGCGGUGCAGUCUGUAGUGAAGCCAGAAGUUCCACGGACACCCUUUUUUUUUUUUAUAUAUAUCUGGCCUAUAGUGCCAGUAGGCUAUCAUGAUGGAGCCUGUUAUUUGGCCCAAGCCUGUUAGCAGCACAGGCAAGUGUUUUAUAGUGAUGCCAUUCUUGCUUGGCUCAUGCUGCCCCCCAGAGCUCCACUUGAUCCUUUUUAAAGACAGGUUCUCUAGAGUUCAGGUUGAUUGGUGGUUUUCAGAGCAGAAUGUGGGUAGUCCUGGGCCACGCGGCAAUGACUGAACAUUGUCAGCUCGUAGCGGUGGACGGGACUCACGCCCGGGUCCCCUAGGACACCAUGCACACACGCUGGCCACUCAGCCACUGCUACCACUAACUCUUUCACAUGUUUUCUCUCUCUUACAGAGGAUCAAUUGGUCCUUAUUGCAUAAAUUUAUAUGGUCUCAAAAGCCCUUUAAAUAUGGUUAGUCCUGAAUAUAUUUAGGAAAGUCUUUGAUCCAGUCUGUGAGUUUGUCUUUCUUGUUGCUUAAUUAAAAGUAACUUUUCCACAGUAGUUCUCCCUGACACAAGUACUAACAGGAACAGUGUGUACAGAAUGGUGGAUCUACCCUUGAUUAAGGCACUUUUGUCUUGAGAUACUUUGUCCUAAAUUUAUAUAUUUGUGACAGAAUAGGCAGUGGUCAUCCAUGUACUCACGACACAUUCAUUGACACAACACAGGUUCCAUACACACACACACACUCACACACAUACACAGUCUACAAUAAAUAUUUCUAUACAUGGCUCACUGUGCAAAAUAAAUGGAGAUACAAAACAUACACACAUAACUUGAGUAUUUAUAACUAAGAUUCCUCUAUAGGUUAGGUAAAUAACGUCCGCCGUGUCCCACCCAGGAGAGAAAUCGUGAAUGAGGCAAGCAAGUGUUGGCGAGGAUUAGAACCAGCAGGCGAGAGGAAGGGUGAGUGGGUGGCUAGUAUGCAGAGAAACAACAACAACAAUAAUAUACAAAGAGUGAAUCACGUCGGCCCAGAUCUCUAGUUAAUAAAUACUGAUAAGCGACAAUUCCAGCGUCGGUGAUUCACGUCAAGGCCUCGGUACAGUGGUCUGAGAGGGACGUGUACGCAGCCUAGUUUGCCCUAAGAUGCUUGUGACCUGCCUCGCCGCACCACUGAAGCCACCGCUGCAGGCUUCUGAGAUCACUGUGGUUGGAGGAGUAAAGCUUGUGUGUCAUUCACCAUGGUCUGAUCAAGUGCUGGACUCUCGACUGCCCAAAGAGUUAAGGCUGCAUAGGUAUGGCUGUGCAUGUGUGUGUGUGUGUGUGUGUGUGUGUGUGUGUGUGUGUGUGUGUCAUUCACCAUGGUCUGAUUAUGAACUGGACUCUCAACUGCCCAGAGUAUUAAGGCUACAUCAAUAUGGCUGUGACAGUUGGAUACUUAUAUUCAUGUACGUAUGAUCCUAACUCUGAGCCUAUUCCUGUCCAAUGCAUUGUGUGUGUGUGUGUGUGUGUGUGUGUGUGUGUGUGUGUGUGUGUGUGUGUACGCAGAGACUGAGACAAGGACUGGUGACGGUUCCUCCUAUCACCUGAGGUACAGAAGUUGAAGGCAAAGCUCACACAGCGAUGCUAAACUAUUGCAAACACAUUAAGUAGUCCUCCGCUGUUGUGUUCUAGCUUACUGAUACCAAAACACUUCCUUUACGCAUCAUAAUUUAUGUUGCACGAGAUUCAUUUAAUUACUCUUAGACUUCAAUAAACUGAGGAUGUGGCAGCGUUCCCUCACACAGCACCGAAAUAACACACUAAACGCUGCUCAGCUUUCUUAAGUAUCCAAGACAAGUAUACAAGACAAGAUAGAGAAAGGUACAUCCUCAAGUAGGCACCAACAAGAGGGAGGAGGAGGUUAAUGUGCGAAGAUGGUGCCAUAGAAGACUGAAGAAGGAGGUGAGGUGUUCAGUAAUGGUUCUGUACAUGAGCGGUCAAGGAAGAGAAGGUUGAGUGAAGACGUCGGAGGGUGACUGAUAUCUACUAGGGACAAACAAGAGGAAGGGGUUAAUAAAAGAGAAUGGCAGGUUGAGAGGUGAGGUGUUCAGUAAUGGUUCUGUACAUGAGCGGUCAAGGAAGAGAAGGUUGAGUGAAGAGGUCGGAGGGUGACUGAUAUCUACUAGGGACCAACAAGAGGAAGGGGGAGGUUAAUAAGAGAGAAUGGCAGGUUGAGAGGUGAGGUGUUCAGGAAAGGAGCACAUGAGCGGUCAAGGAAGAGAAGGUUGAGUGAAGAGGCUGGAGGGUGACGGAUAUCUAUUAGGGACAAACAAAAGGAAAAAGGAAGGAAGGGGUAAAUAAAAGAGAAUGGCAGGUUGAGAGGUGAGGUGUUCAGUAAUGGUUCUGUACACGAGCGUUCAAGGAAGAGAAGGUUGAGUGAAGAGGUCGGAGGGUGACUGAUAUCUACUAGGGACUAAGGAAAAAAAGAGGUAAUACUUGAAGAUAGCGACAUGGGAGAUGAUAGAAGGUGGGUGUUUGGUAUUAGUAAAGGUUCAGUACAUCAGUUGGGGCGAGGUUGAGGCUGGUGGGCAAUUUGAUAUUCACUAGUAUGUAUAAAUUAUCAAAAACCUAAAUGUCCACUCACUCUCCUUGGACACGUUAGCUGAAGGGGCAACCAAUGGGAUAAAAGGAUGUAACUUCUCCCUAUUACAGAAGCUGGUGGAUAAGACUGAAUGGAAUAUAUGACAACUAUCUGCCCAUCCACUCUCUUCCUGGGCACCAACUGAGGGGGGAACCUACGAGACAGAUUCCUGAACCACUCCACUGCAGGAAAAGGUUGACAGGUUAGAGGUAUAAGGGAGGAGACCAGCUGGAAGACCGAAGAAGCCCUGGGGACGGUGUGCAGAGGAAGACAUGUGAAGAAUGAACACUACGGAGGAGUAUCUAAUCAUCAAGAAUGGGGGAGACUCAUAGGGUCGGAUUUUAAAACAUUUCGUCGCCAAAGUUCACCUAUUUGACAAGGCUUUCCUAUGAGUCUGGGGUAUUUCCAGAAGUAGUUUUAUGACCCUGGUGGUAGUCUGACCCUUCUUCUGUACCGUGAACCUAAAGAACCACUCAUUAGACCCUGAUUGACCCCAUCUUUGACCAAUAGAAAUACUUGAUGAGAGAAGUGAAAAUGUCUUAUAAUACCAACCAUAGCCUGUCCAACCCCAUGAGGGAGAAUAAGGAUGUUAAAUGAGAAGCUGAAGAGCGUAGGUUGUUAUGUGUGAAUGUAAUGAAAUAAUGAACUUGAAGUGUGAGAUUCUUGCCUACACUAAAGCCAGGAUGGUAUGCUCAAGAUGGUGGGAAGGAAUGGGAGAGAGGAAGAGAGAUUAGAAGGAGGAGGAGGAAAAGAAGGGAGAGAGGAGGAGGAGAGGGGAAGGGAAAGAUUGAGGGAUGGAAGGAUACUUAGAAAGGUAUAGAAAGAAAGGAGAGAGAAGGAAGAGGAGAAAAGAGAGAGAGAGAGAGAGAGAGAGAGAGAGAGAGAGAGAGAGAGAGAGAGAGAGAGAGAGAGAGAGAGAGAGAGAGAGAGAGAGAGAGAAUGGAUAGACAAAUUAAUAUCCUACGGGAAGAGAGAGAGAGAGAGAGAGAGAGAGAGAGAGAGAGAGAGAGAGAGAGAGAGAGAGAGAGAGAGAGAGAGAGAGAGAGAGAGAGAGAGAGAGAGAGAGAGAGAGAGAGAGAGAGAGAGAGAGAUAA